rnacentral:rRNA from 1 species
UUAGCAUAUAAAAAAGCGGAGGAAAAGAAAACCAACAGGGAUUCCCCCAGUAACGGCGAGCGAAGCGGGAAUAGCUCGAGCAUGAAAUCUCCGGCAGUUAUGCCGGCGAAUUGUGGCCGAGAGUGGCAGCUUGGUUCUGGUUCCGAUGCCGAAGUUUGCCUGGAAAGGCACGUCAGAGAGGGCGAGAACCCCGUGCGUGGCUGAGGACGCCAGGACCGCCAACUGCACACGGAGAGUCGGGUUGUUUGGGAAUGCAGCCCAAAGUUGGUGGUAAACUCCAUCUAAAGCUAAAUACCGGCACGAGACCGAUAGCAAACAAGUACCGUGAGGGAAAGGUGAAAAGUACUUUGAAAAGAGAGUCAAAGAGAACGCGAAACCGUUAGGAGGGAAGCGAAUGCAGCCAGUGCGAGUCCCGUCAGGUUCAGGAGCAGCGGAGAGCGUCGCUCUGGGGUGGCCUAGAUGGCGCCCGAGGGUAGUCGCGCGGCCGCGCAUCUGCACUCCUGCGGGGCUCUUGCCAACGGCAGUGGUCGGUGCCCGAGAGCCGUCGGGGAGGUGCCCUACCCCUCUUCGGAGGCGGGAGGAACUUAUAACCCUUCGGCGACGGGCAUCUGGCGACUGAGGAGACGAUCGCUACUGAUCUGACGACGCAGGCUCCCCCCUUCGCGGGGGGCGGGCUGGCCCCCUUCUCGGACGUCCGGUCUCGCGACCCAGGACUGCGUGCAGUGCUNGGGACGCGUGCGCCUUCGACCNGGGCGGGGAUGGGGUGCAACUGCGUCCGGCGGUUGGCAAAACGUGGCUCCAUCCGUCCCGUCU